rnacentral:rRNA from 1 species
CUCUGUGUUGUAGCUAACGCGUUAAGCACUCCGCCUGGGGACUACGGUCGCAAGACUAAAACUCAAAGGAAUUGACGGGGACCCGCACAAGCGGUGGAGCAUGUGGUUUAAUUCGAUGCAACGCGAAGAACCUUACCACUCCUUGACAUGGAGAUUAGAUCCUUCUUAACAGAAGGGCGCAGUUCGGCUGGAUCUCGCACAGGUGCUGCAUGGCUGUCGUCAGCUCGUGUCGUGAGAUGUUGGGUUAAGUCCCGCAACGAGCGUAACCCUCAUCCUUAGUUGCCAGCGGGUAAAGCCGGGCACUUUAAGGAAACUGCCAGUGGUAAACUGGAGGAAGGUGGGGAUGAUGUCAAGUCAGCACGGCCCUUAUGGGGUGGGCUACACACGUGCUACAAUGGUGACUACAAUGGGUUGCGAUGUCGCAAGGCUGAGCUAAUCCUCAAAAGUCAUCUCAGUUCGGAUUGUCCUCUGCAACUCGAGGGCAUGAAGUCGGAAUCGCUAGUAAUCGUGGAUCAGCAUGCCACGGUGAAUACGUUCUCGGGUCUUGUACACACUGCCCGUCACGCCAUGGGAAUUGGCUUAACUCGAAGCUGGUGCGC